AUGGUGCAUGAUGAAGAAGCUGUCCUAUCUGGGUAUGAUUGGGUUAUGACAACACUAGGCAACGAAACUGCUUGUUACAACAUGUUUAGAAUGCACAGACCAGUGUUUGAGAAAUUGCAUAGUGUGCUUGUUGAUUCCUAUGGUUUGAAGUCCACCAAAAAAAUGUCAUCAGUUGAGUCUCUAGGCCUAUUUCUUUGGAUAGUAGGUUCCCCUCAAUCUGUAAGACAAGCAGAAAACAGAUUUGUUAGGUCAUUGGAGACAAUUGUAAGGAAGUUUGAUAAGGUUUUGGAAUGUCUGAUCAAGCUUGCAAAAGACAUCAUCAGGCCAGUAGAUCGUCAAUUCAGAACUGUGCAUUCAAAAUUAAGAUCUAGAAAGUAUGCACCAUUUAUGGAUAAUUGCAUUGGUGCAAUAGAUGGGACACACAUACAAGUUGUGAGUCAGAAUGUGAUAUGUGUGUGUGACUUUGAUAUGAGAUUCACAUUUGUCCUAGCUGGUUGGCCAGGAUCAGUGCAUGACAUGAGGGUCUUCAAUGAUGCACGAUCCAGAUUUGGUGACAAGUUUCCAAAACCACCACCUAAUAAGUUUUAUCUUGUGGACUCAGGGUACCCAAAUAGACCGGGUUAUCUUGCACCAUACAAGGGUUUAACCUAUCAUUUCCAGGAGUACCGUGAUGGCACAAUGCCUAGAGGAAAAAAGGAACACUUCAAUUUCACCCAUUCUUCACUUAGAAAUGUCAUCGAGAGGUGUUUUGGAGUCUUGAAGAACAAGUGGAGGAUUUUACAAAGUCAACUGCCCGAUAUAGAGUUCGACAAGUGUGAUCAAGAUGAAAACUAUGUACCAUUGUCUAUGCCAACGACCACAACAAAUGAUUCAACAAAUGAGAUGGACAGUGCUGCUAUGAAUCAAUUCAGAGCUUGGGUCGCUGAUGGGUUGUGGUCCUUGAAACAACAAUGA
rnacentral:rRNA from 1 species